AUACGUAGGGGGCGAGCGUUGUCCGGAAUUACUGGGCGUAAAGGGUGCGUAGGCGGCCUUGUAAGUCAGAUGUGAGAGGCUACGGCUCAACCGUAGUAAGCAUUUGAAACUGCAGGGCUUGAGUGCAGGAGAGGAGAAUGGAAUUCCUAGUGUAGCGGUGAAAUGCGUAGAUAUUAGGAGGAACACCAGUGGCGAAGGCGAUUCUCUGGACUGUAACUGACGCUGAGGCACGAAAGCGUGGGGAGCAAACAGGAUUAGAUACCCUGGUAGUCCACGCUGUAAACGAUGAGUGCUAGGUGUUGGGGUCGACAGGCUUCAGUGCCGCAGUUAACACAUUAAGCACUCCGCCUGGGGAGUACGGUCGCAAGACUGAA
rnacentral:rRNA from 1 species